rnacentral:rRNA from 1 species
AUUGAACGCUGGCGGCAGGCCUAACACAUGCAAGUCGAGCGGAGCGGCGGACGGGUGAGUAAUGCCUAGGAAUCUGCCUGGAAGAGGGGGAUAACGUACGGAAACGGGCGCUAAUAACGCAUACUAGCAGAUGAGCCUAGGGCGGAUUAGCUAGUUGGUGGGGUAAAGGACUACCAAGGCGACGAUCCGUAACUGGUCUGAGAGGAUGAUCAGUCACACUGUAACUGAGACACGGUCCAGAUUCAUACGCUAGGCAGCAGUGGGGAAUAUUGGACAAUGGGCGAAAGCCUGAUCCAGCCAUGCCGCGUGUGUGAAGAGGGUCUUCGGAUUUUAAAGCACUUUAAGUUGGGAGGCGUUACCAACAGAAUGAGCACCGGCUAACGUCGUGCCAGCAGCCGCGGUAAUUC